CUUAGUUAUAACAGGAAUUCAUCAGACUUGAAGCAGCCUGCGCUCUUCUCCACUCCCAACUCCUUGGACCUUUUCUCCUAUCCAUCUUACCAGCUGCUUGUACUUCCCUGGGUUCUCUCUGACUCUUGGAUUCUAAACGUGGGUUUUGAGAAGCAGGGUGGAAAAUGGAAUGGAGAAGCCAAAGUCUGUUUUAGAGGAGCCGUACUACCCGGUACACUGUAUGGAAAAAAACCGGCCCAGGCCUCGGCUCUGCCGCGUACCAAUUGUGGAGCCUUAGAUAAAUCAAUUCGUAUCUCUGCCCCUCAGUUGUCUUGGCUUUCCCAUCUUUUAAAUGGGGUUAAAAGAAUUCACGUGACGAAUGAGGCAGGGCUCAUUGGGAAGACGGGAAUUGCGAGAGUUGGAGACGCCCCAAAUUCCGCAGAGCUCAGUAAGUCCCUCUCGGAAAGGCCCCACCCAAAGGUCUAUCCCGAGGGGGUGGGGCCUGGGAAUCUGUAUUUCAGUAGCUUCCCAGGUGAUUCAGACGCUCAGUCAGGUUUGAGACCCAAGGACUCUUUCCAGCCCUCUUGUUCUCUAAUCCACUUCUCAACUUCCUUCUGGCCCCAGCGAUUACCAGUUCCCGCAACAAACGGAGCCGAGGGAAGAGGGAAGCCAAGACGCCACCAAGGCCAGCCGGGCCCACCCGGUUCCCGGCCUCCCGCAGCCUCCCGCAGCCUCCCGGCUCCCGGGCGCCAGCCGCCAGGUUACAUAACGGGCCCGGCGGCGCGCUCUCGCGAGAUUUCCACCGCCCCCCUCCUCACUCCACGUCAGAGGGAAGCGGGCGGAGCGGCCAACAUGGCGGAACGCAGGCGACACAAGAAGCGGAUCCAGGUAGUAAAGCUGAGCCCUGGGGUAGGGGGCUUCAGGGCACUCGGAAGAGGAGGAAGCAGGGAAAGGCCCCUGGAAGGGCGAGCGAAACCGAGGGCGAGGCGGGGCGGGGUUCGGCCGCGAGGCCCCGGCCGCGGGCUGCGUCGUUGCGAGGGGCCUGAGGGGGGGCGGUGCUGGCCGAGGCGGAGACCGAGGCGGAGGUGCUGGGGCAGCGGCGGAAGGCCGGAGGCGCUGGGCUCGGAAGCCGCCGCGGAGGCGCGGCCGCCAGCCUGGGAUUCCCGUGGCAGCUCCGGCCGGGGCCUCGGCUGGGGGGUGAGCCUCCUCCCGGGCGCAGACGGCGACCUCCCCGGGCUCCUCUCUCCCUUCUCCACCCCAUCCCGUCGCCCUAACGAUCCCGAAAUUAAGGCCAUGAUAAUUAGGGUAGAAGGAGGCGGAGGGCUGACCUAA
rnacentral:lncRNA from 1 species